GUGCUCGCUUCGGCAGCACAUAUACUAAAACUGGAACGAUACAGAGAUUAGCAUGGCCCCUGCGCAAGGAUGACACGCAAAUUCGUGAAGCAUUCCAUAUUUUU
rnacentral:snRNA from 1 species